AGGUCAUUAGCUUAAGUGGCAAAGCUCCGGAUUCCAAAUCCGGCGAUUAGGGUUCGAGUCCUUGAUGACCUGCCA
rnacentral:tRNA from 1 species